rnacentral:rRNA from 1 species
AACGAACGCUGGCGGCAGGCCUAACACAUGCAAGUCGAGCGAGACCUUCGGGUCUAGCGGCGGACGGGUUAGUAACGCGUGGGAACGUGCCCUUCUCUGCGGAAUAGCCACUGGAAACGGUGAGUAAUACCGCAUACGCCUUCGGGGGAAAGAUUUAUCGGAGAAGGAUCGGCCCGCGUUAGAUUAGAUAGUUGGUGGGGUAACGGCCUACCAAGUCUACGAUCUAUAGCUGGUUUUAGAGGAUGAUCAGCAACACUGGGACUGAGACACGGCCCAGACUCCUACGGGAGGCAGCAGUGGGGAAUCUUAGACAAUGGGCGCAAGCCUGAUCUAGCCAUGCCGCGUGUGUGAUGAAGGUCUUAGGAUCGUAAAGCACUUUCGCCAGGGAUGAUAAUGACAGUACCUGGUAAAGAAACCCCGGCUAACUCCGUG